GCUUUUCCCCAGGCCUGUUGGUGUAUACUACAGAGAAGCCUGCAUGGUCUUGGGGUGAAAGGC
rfam:Salmo salar isolate Sally breed double haploid chromosome ssa20, whole genome shotgun sequence.